rnacentral:rRNA from 1 species
GACGAACGCUGGCGGCGUGCCUAAUACAUGCAAGUUGAGCGCUGAAGGUUGGUACUUGUACCAACUGGAUGAGCAGCGAACGGGUGAGUAACGCGUGGGGAAUCUGCCUUUGAGCGGGGGACAACAUUUGGAAACGAAUGCUAAUACCGCAUAAAAACUUUAAACACAAGUUUUAAGUUUGAAAGAUGCAAUUGCAUCACUCAAAGAUGAUCCCGCGUUGUAUUAGCUAGUUGGUGAGGUAAAGGCUCACCAAGGCGAUGAUACAUAGCCGACCUGAGAGGGUGAUCGGCCACAUUGGGACUGAGACACGGCCCAAACUCCCACGGGAGGCAGCAGUAGGGAAUCUUCGGCAAUGGACGAAAGUCUGAGCGAGCAACGCCGCGUGAGUGAAGAAGGUUGUCGGAUCGUAAAACUCUGUUGGUAGAGAAGAACGUUGGUGAGAGUGGAAAGCUCAUCAAGUGACGGUAACUACACAGAAAGGGACGGCUAACUACGUG